AACGAACGCUGGCGGCAGGCCUAACACAUGCAAGUCGAGCGCUUCACUUCGGUGAGGAGCGGCGGACGGGUUAGUAACGCGUGGGAACAUACCCUUUUCUACGGAAUAGCCUCGGGAAACUGAGAGUAAUACCGUAUACGCCCUUCGGGGGAAAGAUUUAUCGGAGAAGGAUUGGCCCGCGUUAGAUUAGAUAGUUGGUGGGGUAACGGCCUACCAAGUCUACGAUCUAUAGCUGGUUUUAGAGGAUGAUCAGCAACACUGGGACUGAGACACGGCCCAG
rnacentral:rRNA from 1 species